rnacentral:tRNA from 1 species
GCCACUGUGGCUCAGCGGUAGAGCGACUGAUUCGUAAUCAGUCGGCCGGGGGUUCGAUUCCCUCCAGUGGCUCCA